rnacentral:rRNA from 1 species
AUUGAACGCUGGCGGCAGGCCUAAUACAUGCAAGUCGAGCGAGCGGCGGACGGGUGCGUACUGUCUGGGAAACUGCCUGUUGGAGGGGGAUAACUACUGGAAACGGUAGCUAAUACCGUAUACCAUCAGAUGUGCCCAGAUGGGAUUAGCUAGUAGGUGGGGUAACGGCCCACCUAGGCGACGAUCCCUAGCGGGUCUGAGAGGAUGACCGGCCACACUGGGACUGAGACACGGUCCAGACUCCUACGGGAGGCAGCAGUAGGGAAUAUUGGACAAUGGGCGAAAGCCUGAUGGAGCCAUGCCGCGUGUGUGAAGAAGGCCUUCGGAUUGUAAAGCGCUUUCGGCAGGGAAGCGUUACCCACCGAGAAAGCACCGGCUAACUCCGUGCCAGCCGCCGCGGUAAUAC